rnacentral:rRNA from 1 species
UACAGAGGGUGCGAGCGUUGUCCGGAAUUACUGGGCGUAAAGGGCGCGUAGGCGGCCUGAUAAGUAGGGGGUGAAAUUCCGUGGCUCAACCACGGAACUGCCUUCUAGACUGCCAGGCUUGAGCACGGUAGAGGCAGAUGGAAUUCCCGGUGUAGCGGUGGAAUGCGUAGAGAUCCGGAAGAACACCGGUGGCGAAGGCGGUCUGCUGGGCAGUAGCUGACACUGAGGCGCGACAGCGUGGGGAGCAAACAGG